rnacentral:rRNA from 1 species
GAGUUUGAUCCUGGCUCAGGACGAACGCUGGCGGCGUGCUUAACACAUGCAAGUCGAGCGAUGAAGCUCCUUCGGGAGUGGAUUAGCGGCGGACGGGUGAGUAACACGUGGGUAACCUGCCUCAUAGAGGGGAAUAGCCUUCCGAAAGGAAGAUUAAUACCGCAUAAGAUUGUAGUUUCGCAUGAAACAGCAAUUAAAGGAGCAAUCCGCUAUGAGAUGGACCCGCGUCGCAUUAGCUAGUUGGUGAGGUAACGGCUCACCAAGGCGACGAUGCGUAGCCGACCUGAGAGGGUGAUCGGCCACAUUGGGACUGAGACACKGCCCAGACUCCUACGGGAGGCAGCAGUGGGGAAUAUUGCACAACGGGGGAAACCCUGAUGCAGCAGCGCCACGUGAGUGAUGACAGUCUCCGGAUUGUACAACUCUGACGACAGGGACGAUAAUGGCGGUGGAAGCCGAGGAUGCCUACGCUAACUACGUGCCAGCAUUCGCUAUGUG